rnacentral:misc_RNA from 1 species
AUAUUCCUGUAUAAAAUGAAAGCAAAGUUACGAAUUGGUCAUUUGGACAAUUCCUGAAAAUUAGAUAGGAGGACAAUGGGGAUCACAAAGCAGGAGCUGAGUCUUCCGGGAAACUCCAAGGGAAAGCUGGCCUUUGUCCUGUACGACGUGUUCACAGAAGAAGUGAGUUGCCGUAACAACAACAAUUUGAUAUAGAUGUAUAUUUUAAAUAUCGUAUUGAUCAGAGACAUAUAUAACAGGAAUGUAAGAAGUACAUUGAGGACUCAGAGAGGCGGGGCUACGAACUGGCCCUGGUCAAUAUCGGCGGAGGAAGACAAAUGGAAGCCACGGACGUGCGAAACAACGCCAGAAACAUCUGGGAUUCCAGAGAGGAGGCCGCUAAUAUCCUUCAAAGAAUCCAAGAUUACCUUCCCAAAGAGUGGAAGGGAAGAAAGCUUGUGGAACUUAAUGAAAGGUUGCGGUUUUUGCGAUACAACCCAGGUGAAUACUUCAAACCUCAUUUUGACGGUUCUUACAUGAGGACCAAUGGGGAUGUAAGUUACAUCACUGUCCAGAUCUACCUAAACGAAGUAAGUCAUCUAUAUUUAGAGUCGUUAUCUGAUCAAUCUCUAGAAUGUCUUAUUGUUAUCUGAAUUAUUUCUCUCGCCAAGGGAUUCAAAGGCGGCAGUACAACGUUUCUGAACAAAUUCGACAGCAAGGACGGCGGGUUAGAGGUUGUUCCUAAAACAGGAUCAGUGCUGAUUUUCCAGCACGAUAUCCUUCACGAGGGAUCAAUUUUGGAAGAGGGCCGGAAGUACGCCAUUAGAACGGAUGUUAUGUAUACAAAAAAUGCUAGCACCAACAACUGUUGAAUAAUGUAUUAUUAUAUAUGAUGUAAUUUACACAUACUUCGUCAUUCUGUGUUGUGCUUGAUGUCCCGUUUGCCUGUUCUUACAUGUACAAUCACACAUGUUUCCAUAUUCUGUGUGUACACAUGUAUGUCCCGUUUGCCUGUUCUUACAUGUACAAUUACACGUUUCUUUAUUCUGUGUAUAUGUAUGUCCCAUUUGCAUGUUCUUACAUGUACAAUAAAACAUGUUUCUAUAGUCUGUGUACGUGUAUGUCUCGUUUGCCUGUUCUUACAUGUACAGUUACACGUGUUUCUAUAUUCUGUGUACAUGUAUGUCCCGUUUGUCUGUUUGUUAGUGUUUGGUGGCUUGUUUUAGAGCCCUGCAUUACUGUGACAGAGCACGUUUUUGGGUUUCUCUUCUUUGUCUGUGAUAUAUACUUUAUCUAAAUCAUGCAAUCAUAUAAUUUACUGUUCAGGCUAUAUGACAUGAAAUGCAAUAAAAUCUCGGUUGAUAUU